AAAUCUGAACAUCAGUGACACAAACACGAUACUUAAGAUAGUUUGGUUAUUCGAUUUAAUUACUGCUCUCGCAGUGUUGUGCACCAACAUGACACAUUGACACGUGAGAGGGGGAAACAUAGACUACAUAUAAACUUGUUAAUAAGCUUCCAAAUAAACUACUCUUUGGAAGAGAGACAUAGAUUGAACCGGAAAUUUCAUCCUUGUUCGCGAGCUCAACAAUCUCCUCAGCUUCUUCUUGCUUUGAUCCUUUCACCAACGCAUAAACCACCUCUGGAAGUGGAACGAUGGGCUCACUCGACACGCAUACGCUUCGUGAAUAUGUCCUUGCAAAGCUCAAAAGCGAAUUUUAAAUUGCCCUUAACUCUUCUCCCACAUCAAAGUGCCCUUUUGUAGACUCAUGUAACAUCGUGUUGAAGGUGAAAACAUCAGGCUUCAGAGACCCUUGUUCACAAUCUCAUCAAGCAACGCAACAGCUUCGGGUAAAGAACCCUUUCUACACAAUCCUUUGACCAAAGCAUUGUAAGAUCUGAUAUCUGGUUUUGAUCGAGAGUUUACUUGGCACCUCCUUGAACACGCCUUCAACCUACUUGUGCAGAUACAUACGUAUAGAUUUAUUAGUCAAAGAAUUUAGAAUUAGAUUCGUUAUAUUUUCUUAUGUAAAUCAGACAUGGACGGACUAAGGUGUUUUCAUAAUAACUUCUUUAGUACCGAUCAAAACUUUAUUUGAAUAUAGCCAGUUGGCAAAAAAAAAGAUAACCGUUCACCUGUUUUCUUUUCAACCACCAGCGUGCAGUGUAUAGUGUAUACACUUGCCUUCUAAGGACAAUAUCAACAAGCAAUAAAACAGAAAAGAAAACAUUAUACUCAUAUUAAUUUUCAAAAAAAAAAAAAAAAAAACAUUAUACUCAUAUUUGAUACCUUGGACUUCCUCUACAACUACAUGAACAGAAAUGGUGUACAAAAGUGAAGCUUAUGUUUCAAACCAACAUUAUUCAGCUGCUUUAAACAAUCAAAACAUCCUUUCAGCUUAUAAGCAGGACAUGCAUGCCGUUUAGUUCCCUACUCUCUAAAUGAAGAAUUAUCUGACUAUUCUCAAUCUAUGACCGACGUCCGUGUCACUUUUGAAACGAAUAGGCGAACUACGCAACGUUUUUAAGCUGAGCUGACGUCAUCAUUAGCAAACCGUUGAUGCACUUAUUCAAUUCAUAAUUUAAGAUUUAGAUACAGUGAUCGAGAUGCUCAUGCACGUGAGGAGCGUGCCAAAAAGUACGAAUCUAUGUUAUACAAUUAUUUGAUCUCAUCUCUCUGAUAAAUCACCCAAUUUUAUUUUUUAUAGAAUCUUAGACCAUCUUUAUCCCAGGUUUCUAACUGGGUUUUUAACAAAAAUAGAUGAUUUAAAUAAAUCAAAAAUAAUUAUAAAGUUCAUUACCGAUCCUUAAGUAAGGAUUCUGGAAACCGAUUUUAAUGGGGGUUUUACAACCACGUGUCAGCAAAGUAAAGGCACCAGAUUUUUUUUUCUAUUUUCUUUUCUCUUUUUUUUUUCUGUUUUCUCAUCUUCUGACGAAAUCCACCACCUCUCCUCUCGGCUUCUCCGUCAGAAACGAUCGACGACUCUGUCGGUCAUCACGGCGUGUCCUCCGUGUUCUCCAUCAGACGAGCACUCGAAACCCACCGAGAUGACAGCAUGAUUUGGAAGCUGAUUACCGCCAGAAGAGGACAGCAUGAUUUGGACGCUGAUUACCGUCAUAAGAGGACAGCUCUCCCACCAAACUCUCUCUUCAAUUCUUCUAUUUUAGAUGCUGUGAAGAGGCAGAUGACUAAGGACGAUGAAAAGCAUCAAAAGGUACAAACUUUUUUAAAACCCAACAAGAUUUGAUUCUUUACUCUUUAUUAUCAUAGAUGAUGACAUGGUAUUGGUCGGUAAGAUUUCAACCUGACGUUACCAUAUCAUGGAGAGACUAUUUCAUUAGAGGAAGGGGAGCUACUUGUGCUGCUUACAGAUGGUAGAAAGCUAAUGGGAACACUCUGUUCUUUUUGAUCAAUUGAGAAGAAGAGGAAGCCCGUCUCUAAGGCAAUCUCAACACACUCCAUUCUCUUUAUCUUUAUGAUGCAUUGUAUUCAAAUUCCAAGUCUUGUGAUGUGGGUUGGAGUUAAAGCGGGUUUAGGAAUUUUCAGCCAUUUCUGAUAUAGAUUAUUUCAUUUUUGGAUGAUGCAUUGUAUUUCAUUUGCAUUGUAUUAAUAAUUUUUUUUUCUAAGAAUCCUUAAUUAAGAAACUUCCAUUGGACCACUCAAAAUGGGAGUUUCUUAACUAAA